CGCGUAGGCGGCCUGCCAAGUCAGAUGUGAAAGCCCACGGCUCAACCGUGGAAGUGCAUCUGAAACUGACAGUCUUGAGUACUGGAGAGGAGUGUGGAAUUCCUGGUGUAGAGGUGAAAUUCGUAGAUAUCAGGAGGAAUACCGGUGGCGAAGGCGACACUCUGGACAGAUACUGACGCUGAGGCGCGAAGCGUGGGAGCAAACA
rnacentral:rRNA from 1 species